CCUACGGGAGGCAGCAGUGAGGAAUAUUGGUCAAUGGCCGCAGGGCUGAACCAGCCAAGCCGCGUGAGGGAUGACGGUCCUAUGGAUUGUAAACUUCUUUUGUCAGGGAGCAAAGGGCGCCACGUGUGGCGUUUUGCGAGUACCUGAAGAAAAAGCAUCGGCUAACUCCGUGCCCGCAGCCGCGGUAAUACGGAGGAUGCGAGCGUUAUCCGGAUUUAUUGGGUUUAAAGGGUGCGCAGGCGGAAUGUCAAGUCAGCGGUAAAAUUGCGGGGCUCAACCCCGUCGUGCCGUUGAAACUGGCGGUCUUGAGUGAGCGAGAGGUAUGCGGAAUGCGUGGUGUAGCGGUGAAAUGCAUAGAUAUCGCGCAGAACUCCGAUUGCGAAGGCGGCCUGCUGGCCUGUAACUGACGUUGAGGCUCGAAAGCGUGGGGAGCAAACAGGAUUAGAUACCCCUGUAGUC
rnacentral:rRNA from 1 species